GGGGCACAACCCCCUAAGAGUCUCUCUUGCUCCUGGACGGCAUGAUGGGAAGUGACCUGUUCCACUUGUCGAGAACUAGUGGACCCCAUGUUUCCCUCUAGCUUGGACACUAUGGUUCUCAGGAGGAAUCCUCACCCCCGGCCAGGAGCCCUUCUCCUCCACCUACUACUGCUGGGCUCUACCUCCCCCACUUUUAAUUUUAAGCCUUGGCUCAAAAUUCACUCCCCAAUAUUUCUCCCCUUCUCUCUACUUUCGUCCUCAAUAAUCCCAAGCAGCUGGGGUGUACAAGUCGUUUUCACCUCUUGGGACCGUGCUAAAGGGGGCAGCCUAUGAUUACCAUGAGGGUAUGGGAGCCCUGAACUGCAAAUCUAUCAUUUCCAGAGAAGCCAGAAAUCUGAAAUUUUCUGUGCAAUUUCUGAAACUUUAAAUCAGAAUUUUUUCUAAAAUUCAAUGGGUCAGAUACCACAGUCUGUGUAAUCAAUCCAUUCCAAAGUCUCCUCCUUUUGCUAAAGGAGAAGAUUCCUUAAAACAAGGCAGAAGCCAACUGAAGCAAGGGAGAACCACCUCCCACCCCUCCCCACACACACUUUCCACACCCAGUAACUAGGUCUCUGGGCGGAUAAUUCUGUUUUGUUUUGUUUUUUUUAAUUUUGGACAGCUAAUCUCUGUAGUGAGGAACCCAGAACUUUCGGUAAUGUAAGGGAUAUUAGUCUGGUUGUCAGAAAAAUGGGCUGGAGUAUUUGUGCUGUGUCCCUGACCAUAAUUCCUGCUCAGUUGCUUAGCUCCCUGGCAACUAUGUCUGAGGGCUAAACAGGAGUUGGUGUGAUCUUCCAGAAAAAGAACAGGCUUCUUGUCUUGCAGAGGCAGGAAGUCAGAAAACAAGAGUGUGUGUGUGUGUGUCAGGGGGUGGGGGGUGUCAGUGCUCUCCAGCCUGGGUGACAGAGUGAGCCUGUCUCAAAAAAAAAAAAAAAAAGAGUGAGCAAUCCUCAAAGUAUCCAAGAACAACUACACGCCCCAAGGGGAAAACCAGCUGGAUUGCUUAGGCCUUGGCUGUAGUCACUAAAGAAUGGCAUCAAUCUCAGAAACCCUCAAGAUGGGGUCAAUUUAGGAAGAAGCUGUUUAUUCUGUACUGUCUUUGGCCUCCACCUAAGGUCUGGCAUCGACCCACCCUUCAGGCUCAUAGUUCAGCGAGGUUAGAGCACUUAGGGAGAAGCAGGUAACACAUCCAGGGUUUGAGAGAAGACCAGCACACAACUCUCAGUGAUCUGGAUAGAGGAAGACUAAAUUACUGUGGUUCAGGCAGCCUUGCCAGGUGAUGUCUUCCCAAAACUUCUCAGAUGUAUAUUCCUCCCUGAUUGUGCCACCUAGGCCUCCUUCCCUUCAGUUUGGGACUUAAAACUUCCACCAAUAACGUGAGUAUGUGCACCCAUGCAGCAGCCUGUCCGAGGACUCACAACUGGAGACACCUCCCUGCUUGGCGCUGCCCAGAAAACUAUGUAGAUGGCCAAGAAACCGACUUCCAUUAUAAAAUGUUUUUCUGUGUGUACCAGGAAAAAGAUGCUCAAAAUCCAAAUCACCACUUUAUUAUGUGGCAGUCACCAUGGUGCCAGCCUCUGCCUUCCCCAUGUCACCCUCCUAAUCCAGGGCUCUCCAACCAUAUUCAUGUUUGCGUUUUCACAAGUCAAUGUCCAUUAAGGCCUUGUGCUCCCCUUUUCUUCAGUACAGGGCAGGGCCCUUAUAAUUUGGGUCUCAAGAAUUGAUAGUUGUCUCUUAACUGGUUCUGGUGAGGCGCACUCACAGCAGUGAGUGGAGGGUCCUGGGAGGGCAUGGAUGACGGAGGCUGCCCCUAGAGGAGCUGGAUGUAGGAGCAGAGACAUUUCUUGAUCUUUCACUCUGCAAACUGGUCCAAGAACUUGAGAGGGGAUGACUUUGUCAGUGUCCCCAAAAACAUGGAGCGAAGGCAAUGACAAGGGCCUUUGCAGGAUGGAUUCCUUGAACCCAAUGCCCCGGGGACAGAAACCAGACACCAAGAGGAUAAACCGUGGCAAGGGGAAGCGGGGAUCGCCUGCCUGGCCCAGGGCACACAC
rnacentral:lncRNA from 10 species